GGGCACUUGGCGCAGUGGUAGCGCGCUUCACUGACAUUGAAGAGGUCAGAGGUUCAAAUCCUCUAGUGCCCACCA
rnacentral:tRNA from 1 species